AUGAAGAACGUAGCGAAAUGCGAUAAGUAAUGCGAAUUGCAGAAUUCAGUGAGUCAUCGAAUCUUUGAACGCACAUUGCGCCCUGUGGUAUUCCGCAGGGCAUGCCUGUUCGAGCGUCAUUUCAACCCUCAAGCCCCGCUUGGUGUUGGGCCCCGCCCGCUGUGGCCGGCCCUAAAGACAGUGGCGGCGCCGCCUGGCCCUCAGCGUAGUACAUCUCUCGCUCCAGGGUCCGGUGGCCGCCUGCCAGAACCCCCCAACUCUGUGGUUGACCUCGGAUCAGGUAGGGAUACCCGCUGAACUUAAGCAUAUCAAUAAGCGGAGGA
rnacentral:misc_RNA from 1 species